rnacentral:rRNA from 1 species
GAUGAACGCUGGCGGCGUGCCUAAUACAUGCAAGUCGAACGGAGUGCAGCAAUGUACUUAGUGGCGACCGGGUGCGUAACACGUAGCGGACCUGCCCAUCAGCGGGGGACAACAGGCCGAAAGGCCUGCUAAUACCGCAUGAGGUCGUGGGGUUUAGAAAGCCACGACGAAACUUCCGGGGCUGAUGGAGGGCGCUGCGGCCCAUCAGGUAGUUGGUGUGGUAACGGCGCACCAAGCCGACGACGGGUAGGGGACCUGAGAGGGUGGUCCCCCACACUGGGACUGACACACGGCCCAGACUCCUACGGGAGGCAGCAGUAAGGGAUAUUGCGCAAUGGGCGAAAGCCUGACGCAGCAACGCCGCGUGGAGGAUGACGGCUUUCGGGUUGUAAACUCCUUUUUGCGGGGAGGAACACGAGACAGUACCCGCCGAAUAAGCCACGGCUAACUACGUGCCAGCAGCCGCGGUAAAACGUAGGUGGCGAGCGUUAUCCGGAUUUACUGGGCGUAAAGGGUGUGCAGGCGGCCCGCCAAGUGGUGGAUGAAAGCCUUCGGCUCAACCGAGGGAGUGUAUGCCAGACUGGCGGGCUGGAGAGCGGGAGAGGGACGUGGAAUUCCGGGUGUAGUGGUGAAAUGCGUAGAGAUCCGGAGGAACCCC